CACAGCCUCCUUGGGCAACCUGUUCAGUGCGUCACCACCCUCUGGGGGAAAAACUUCCUCAUAUCCAACCUAAACCUCCCCCAUCUCAGUUUAAAACCAUUCCCCCUGAACCUCUGCCCCCAUUUGAGGCUUCUCCUCAUUUCGGGGCACACUUCCCAUGCUUCAUGAACACGUUUAUGGGCUUUGUGCGUUGGUUGGAGAUAAUUCAUAGCAUUGGGUGGGUUGGGUUUUUGUGGCCAAGAAGUACUUCUUAGAGGGAAAAAAAGAAGCAUUGAAAGCUCUAUCAGGCUGCCACCGCUGAGGUUUUUGUGGGAAACACAGGAAGAGUGAAAACGGCCACUCAGAACUCAACAGUUCUAAAGAAAAGCAGCGACCUGAAGGCCGAAAGGGCACAAAACACGGCGCGGCUGUGGUGCCAAUCAGGGGACGGCAGUGCAGCUCCCUGCCGCGGAGACAUCCCGCCUUCCUGCUGCAGAGCCCCUCUGUGGAGCUCCGGAUGAGCCGCUCCGGCCCGGCCCAGCACAACGUUAGCCUGAGAGGAUGUCAGGUAUUUCCAGGAGCCAGCAUUUGCUGAGCGCCUUUCUGGUGAGACAGACACAGAAAAUGAGGCGGAUAGUGAGUGCUGGAGGCACGAUGUGAAGGCUAAGGCAGUAAGGAAGCUCGUCCCAGAUCCCAGUUUGGUAUUUUAUCUCCUCUGUGGUGUUUUAACUGUGAGAAUUUCCUGCUCCAACCCCAUGCGUGGUCCCGCGGUACCCCCUGGAAAGGAGGGCCUUUAAUUAAAGUACAACUCCCUGUUUGCCCCGCUGGGUUUGUAACAGCUGUGGUAAUAAGAGAUCUGGGACUGAAGGGAAAUCUUAGAGCUCGAAGUCGCCUCCAACAAAAACUGAGCAAAUAACUUUAAUAAGGCUGAAUUCUCUCUUCUGUUUAAGGUGUUUUUUUCCCCACUUCCUCCGCGGAACAACACACUGCAAAAGGAUAAAGGCUGAUCCAGUAUAGCAACCUUUCUGAGACCCGCCUUAAGGCUAAGAUGAACAUUCAGGAGAUGGAGAAACCUGAAUGUGGAGGCUUCAGAACUUCCCCCCAGAGGACAAGGAAUUAAAGGAACUUCGUCUUGUGAACCAAAGUCACGUGUCGGCUGUUAUCAGGUUAUGGUCUCACAUCCACUUGAGUAGCAGUAACUGAAUAAUUGAAUGUUCCCCUUGAACCAAAUAGUUUGCUCCUGGAAUUACAGGUGGGUUGGUUCUUCAUGCUUCUGACACUGCAUUGCUUUUUUUGUGGCAGCUACUUGCCUUCUUGCACAGCCAUAUCUGUCAAUACCACAUGGAAGCACACAGCCCGUAGUGUUGAGGAGCUUUGCCUGCAAAAUUUCUGCUUUUGUUUUGAGACUGCUCCUAUGAGCAGAUACUCCCUUCAAUGGCACCUUAAUGGUUACACAGGGCACUGAGGAAGGCUCAAACCUUCAUAACUACAGUACAGCUCCCUCCAUCCAGGUACACUGGGCGUUUGGCAUUCAUACGAAGUUUCUUUGGCAGGCACUGCUUACCAUUUCCUCAUAUUAACAUCUAUCACAAAGAAAUCUCAUCUUCAGGCUCCAGCAGCCUAAUGGCUUCCUUCAGCAUCUGAAUACAUCAACAGCUGUGGCUUCAGCCAUUUUGUCUGACCAAACUGAGAGCAGCCCAAAACCUGCUUCUGCACCAGGAGGGGAUAAAGGAGCCUCUUCUUCUGCAGAGAAGGCUUCCCACAAAACAUACAGAAUUGCAAACAUAAUUCUUCCUUCUCUCCACAGUCCUGAUCGCAGCAAUCUGAAGGCAGAAUGUUUACUCAAAAGGGAGUAUGUCUUUAAACAUCACAAGGCGUGCUUACAGCACUGUGCUGCACAGACAUUGUGUAUCAGACAGAGUACGUGUCUGUGCCACAGAUGAGGCAAUGAUGUCAGCUGAAAAUGCCCUUGUGCCCAGCUGGCAGCAGUGCUGGUGUGCAGCCCUGCUGUGCUGUCACUGUGCUGCUGAGAGCUGCUGCUGCUGGGAAGGGCCAUUCUGUGACACUGCACUUCUGUCUCCUGCUUUCAUGCUAUUUCAGUGCUCUCUGUCUUUGCUCAUGCUGUUCAGCGUGCAGACCUAGCAGAAAGCCUUGAAGGCAGUAAAUUGUCAGAGCAGUCUGGACUUGCAAUGAGCUAUUUUAUGACCAAGUACAGAAAUUCUUCACUUCUUAUUUCAUUCAAAA